UACGUAGGGUGCAAGCGUUGUCCGGAAUUAUUGGGCGUAAGAGCUCGUAGGCGGCUUGUCGCGUCGGCUGUGAAAACCUGGGGCUCAACCCCGGGCCUGCAGCCGAUACGGGCAGCUAGAAUUCGGUAGGGGAGACUGGAAUUCCUGGUGGUAGCGGUGAAAUGCGCAGAUAUCAGGAGGAACACCGGUGGCGAAGGCGGGUCUCUGGGCCGAUAUUGACGCUGAGGAGCGAAAGCGGUGGGGAGCGAAACAGG
rnacentral:rRNA from 1 species